rnacentral:rRNA from 1 species
AUGUUAUUUGCCACGUACCAGGUGGUCCAGCCCAUCAACGGUGACCCGUUCAUCGGCAGCCUUGAGACCCCCGUCACCUCCAGCCCCCUCGUCGCGUGGUACCUCUCCAACCUCCCCGCGUACCGCACUGCCAUCAGUCCGCUCCUCCGUGGCAUCGAGGUCGGCCUGGCCCACGGCUACCUCCUCGUCGGCCCCUUUGCGCUCACCGGCCCGCUCCGCAACACGCCGAUUCACGGCCAAGCAGGCACUCUCGGCGCCAUCAUCCUCGUCUCCAUCCUCAGCGUCUGGCUCACCAUGUACGGCGUCGUGUCCUUCAACGAGGGCGUGCCCUCCACCGCGCCCACCCUCACGCUCACCGGCCGCAAGAAGGAGGCCGACAAGCUGCAGACGGCAGAAGGGUGGUCCCAGUUCACCGGAGGCUUCUUCUUUGGCGGUGUCUCCGGCGCCAUCUGGGCCUACUUCCUCCUCUACGUGCUUGACCUCCCAUACUUCUUCAAGUAG